GUUAUUUCUUUAUUGACAGACAUUUAGGCCGUUUCCAAGUUUUUAAAAAGUGGUUCAACAAAUAUUCUUGAGUCUAUCUCUGUGUUCAGAAUUAAUUUCUACAAGUGGAAGUUCUGAGUCCAAACCCAGAAAAUUUUGAAUUGUAACUAAUGCUAACUUAAUGCUAACUUGCAUCCUAAAAAGUUGUACCAAUUUACAGGACAGAAAAUGCUACUUCUUCGGAUACCUAAUAAUCUAAACCUUUGCUAACAUGAUGGGUAAAAUGUUUUAAUUUUCAUUUUUUAAAAGUCUGUUAAGUUUAGUUUCUCUAACUUACUAAUUUUGGUUUCUAGCAGUAUCCAUUCUCAAUUCAUUAUCUCUUUGAAUUUUUUAUUUUAGCCAUAUGCUUGUUAUCAGAUUACUUUUUUUGGGUAAAGAACAGCUUAUUUUUAUCAUUCUAACAUCCCAAGGAAUCUCAAUGAAGAUCAGAAAAAGUUUUUAAAGGUCUCAGAACUUCUCUUUUAACCAUCAGAAAGGUAAUCUGCUACCUGCCUCUUUACUAUCCCUAAGGACUAUACUAGAGUUCUCAACUGACUGAUUCCGUGUGCAGGUGAAGAGAAGUUUUCCAGAAGUGUGAUAUGCAUAGAGUAAUUCAUAGUCCCUAUUUUGAUCAAAUUUUCUUUUACUAUCUGAGUUCCAGCUCUUCUGUUUAUAACCCACUUCUGGCUAAUCUGUCUGGCUCCUAUCUCUACAGGCCCCAGUUUCACUCAUGCUACCAGGGGACUCUCCUGCUUUGGGUUGUCUUGGUAGACAUGCCACCCCAGGCAGGUGCUGGGGACCUAGUCCUGUCCCGGACAGGCAUUCAGACAGCUACAGCACAAAAUAUUUCACCAAUGGUAUCUGAUACAGUCUAGUCAAGAUUAACGGGGAAUAAAAACACAUUGCUUAGAAAUAAUUACCCACAGAUCUAAAGUCAACAAAAGUAUUUUUUUCUUUUUUUUUUCUGCUUUAUCUCCCCCAAACCCCCCUGGUCCAUAGUUGUAUAUCUUAGUUGCAAGUCCUUCUAGUUGUGGCGUGUGGGACGCCACCUCAGUGUGGCCUGAUGAGCAGUGCCAUGUCAGCACCCAGGAUCUGAACCGGCGAAACCCUGGGCCACCGCAGCGGAGCAUGCAAACUUAACCACUUGGCCACAGGGCCGGCCCCAAAAUAAUUUUUUUCUAAUAUUAACAUACAUAAUUUUGGGGCCAAC
rnacentral:lncRNA from 1 species